CUGGAGGUAUCAGAAGUGCGAAUGCUGACAUAAGUAACGAUAAAGCGGGUGAAAAGCCCGCUCGCCGGAAGACCAAGGGUUCCUGUCCAACGUUAAUCGGGGCAGGGUGAGUCGACCCCUAAGGCGAGGCCGAAAGGCGUAGUCGAUGGGAAACAGGUUAAUAUUCCUGUACUUGGUGUUACUGCGAAGGGGGGACGGAGAAGGCUAUGUUGGCCGGGCGACGGUUGUC
rnacentral:rRNA from 1 species